UAUUAUACAAUUACAUACUAGAUAUAAAUAUAUUACAUACAGUAUAUAAAUAACAGGUAAAUACGGCAUGAUUUAUUAUAGUGAUUUAAUCUGAAAUCAGCAGUAAGUGUAAGCAGAGCUCUUCCCCGCCUCAUGUCCGCCUUCUGCUGCAGUGCGUCACCCAAAACAUUCCCCCUUUCAGGGAGGAGCAGAACCGAAAAUACGCCACAACAGAGCAGAGAGGUAAAGAGAUAUUAGGAAAUACCCAAUGGUUUCGAAAGAAACCGGUAAACAAACCUCUAAAAAGCAAAAAGUAACAAAGACAGCAUCAGUAACAGCGUUUCUUUGUGUUUCUCCAGGAGAAAUCAGCAAGAAACCGGGUUCAUAGACUUUGCACAGAAUUCACCAGCACAACAUGUUUGCCAUGUGUUGGCUCGACCUACACUGAUCAACCCAAUGGCCUUUUGAGUUGUCUUUACUGUACAGUGUGUGAUUUUGGACAGGGAUUAAAAGUAAAAAUG